CUAGCGGCAGGCUUAACACAUGCAAGUCGAGGGGUAACAUUGUGCUUGCACAGAUGACGACCGGCGCACGGGUGCGUAACGCGUAUAGAACCUACCUUUUACUGGAGAAUAGCCUUUAGAAAUGAAGAUUAAUGCUCCAUGGUAUUGAGUUUUGGCAUCAAGACUUAAUUAAAGAUUUAUUGGUAAAAGAUGGCUAUGCGUCCUAUUAGUUAGAUGGUAAGGUAACGGCUUACCAUGACUUUGAUAGGUAGGGGUCCUGAGAGGGAGAUCCCCCACACUGGUACUGAGACACGGACCAGACUCCUACGGGAGGCAGCAGUGAGGAAUAUUGGGCAAUGGAGGCAACUCUGACCCAGCCAUGCCGCGUGAAGGAUGACUGCCCUAUGGGUUGUAAACUUCUUUUAUACAGGAAGAAACACUGGUAUGUAUACCAGCUUGACGGUACUGUAAGAAUAAGGACCGGCUAACUCCGUGCCAGCAGCCGCGGUAAUACGGAGGGUCCGAGCGUUAUCCGGAAUCAUUGGGUUUAAAGGGUCCGCAGGCGGUCGAUUAAGUCAGAGGUGAAAUCCCAUAGCUCAACUAUGGAACUGCCUUUGAUACUGGUUGACUUGAGUCAUAUGGAAGUAGAUAGAAUGUGUAGUGUAGCGGUGAAAUGCAUAGAUAUUACACAGAAUACCGAUUGCGAAGGCAGUCUACUACGUAUGUACUGACGCUGAGGGACGAAAGCGUGGGGAGCGAACAGGAUUAGAUACCCUGGUAGUCCACGCCGUAAACGAUGGAUACUAGUUGUUGGGCAUUAGCUCAGUGACUAAGCGAAAGUGAUA
rnacentral:rRNA from 1 species